rnacentral:lncRNA from 1 species
AUGCCGCUGGAGACCUCACCUUCCCGGCAGGAGAUGGGGGCUUCAUCAGUCAAGCUGUUCAGUUCCAGGCAUGUGGACAGAGAUUGUUAUAACACCGUUCUUCAUCUCAUCUUAUUGAAAGGCUUCUGCACUGCCAGAGAAACCACCAACAGAGUGAUACAAACAGCCAACUCCCGUUCACCGUCAUCACUGGAUGUAGCUAGAGGAGAGGAUGUCAAGUAACAGAAGCUUACGAAAAUAAACUUUUUUAGGAGGAGCCGAAAGUAAAUAAAAACAGAUGAAAGUAAGGCGAUGAAGUGGAAGCUGAAAUGGAAGAGACAGGUUCCCGGGGAGAUGAGGAUGAAAAGUAGAGGGAGGCUUCCUGUGUUUGGCGUGGUAACAUGGUGUGAGGACAACGGGUCGUGGAAAGUGAAUUCAGACUCCGCACCCAGACAGACCUUGGCUUUUGUUCUCAACGGCUGCUUGAUGUGAGUCGAUGUAUUUAACCGCCAUGGUGUGCGUUUUCCUGCUCGUCUCUGAUUCCAAUGUCAUACAGUUGUUGAAGGAACUAAGAGAUGUAAAUAAGCAUGUGGUUAGAUGUUGACUUGGAUUUUUAUUGUCACCCUGGGAACUAUGAUCUAGGCUACCCAGUUAAAGAAAAGGGGCUGCCAAUUAUGUCCCACACUGAUGAAUGCUGCCAAGAAACAAGCUUCUUAUAUUGUAGGGAAACAAUAGCUAUUAGUGGUCACCAGCCUUAUCCACAUGCUUCAUUUGCACUGGGUUGGGGGCCAGGCUGAUGUAGAGUUAGGUUUAUGUAUUUCCAGGAAUGCAGUUGUUUAGACAGAAGCCUUUUCCUGCUCAGUUGUGUAUCUACUUCUGCUCCAAAGCCAGUGGUGACUAAAGCUACCAGCCAAGAGAAGGGAAUGCAGGAGUCAUACUGUGAGUUCAUAUUGCUAUUGUGUUGGUGUAGUGCUAAUUACAAUUAUUUUAAAUAGUUCUUGUAAAAACAGAGGAGACUCUGUUCCUAAUAAUUGUUAUGUGGAAAUAUAGAUCCCCACAAAAAAGCCAGAAAUUCUAUUUAUCUAAAAAAUCCUAACUCUGACUUUUAAUGUAAAAUUUCUAUGAUUUAAAGGUGUUGUCCCACCAUUUUAUUAUAGAACGUCAUUUGAUCAGUGGGCACAUGUCUCCCCAUAAUAUAUGUUCUGUAGACCAUGUAUUUGCAGCCUCCAUCACAGGAGUAGAAGGCAAAAACCUAGAUUUAAUUUUUUCAGCUUUAAUUGAGUUUAUUGGUACAUUUUAGGGAUAUGGUACAGUUACCUUCCUUGUUGGGAUCUUGUAUCUCUACAUGACAAGUCUUGAUUCUCAUUUUUUCCCCUUACCCCUGCCCUCCCUUCACCCCCUCCUCCCCUCCCCAUCUACAAACAUUUUAUUUUCAUCUUUUCCUUAUUAGAUUUAAAUUUUAA